rnacentral:lncRNA from 1 species
GAAAGCUCCAAUAACACACGUUGAUUCCAAAUCAAUUUUUUUAAGGAACAAGAUUAUAAGUAAAUAUUGAAGUAAUCAUGAUCACACAACGAAACAAGGUUUAAACUAUAAAGAGGAACAAAAGGAUUAAUGUAGAGAAACUAUGUUAUUGAAUCAACAAUAUGAUGAAUACAAAGCAAUCUAGCAAUUGGCUUCUAUCUAUUACAUCUAAUAAAACUGACAGAGGAGCCUUGUAUUUAUAGGCCACCCUAGAAGAGUCCUAAAAGACAAGAAAAUAUAUUACAAUUAGGAGACCCAAUUUCAAAAGUAUUUUGUUUCCUUUUGUUGGAUGCAAUUAGAUUCCCUUUUUAAGUAAAAGUCUAACACGCAUUUUCAAAAGACUCCUAACCAAUUUCUAGGAUUCCACUUGAUCAAAUUCUAAAUCAACAGUAAUCCUAACACAUUUGAGUCACCAAACCUAACAAUCACCAACUUGACUCAAAUUUCGGUGCUAAGAACGAAACUCCUACAUUUCAAAUUCAUCUGCAUCGAAAUUAAUUGGUUGAAUCUCUUCAACAUAGUAGCCACUCCAGAUAAACCAAACACUCAUCCUCUGUACAGUGUCCACAAUCGACAUCCGAACCCAAUCUCUAGGGUUCCCAAUUCCACCAACGAAUUAAUGUUGAUCACACAGGGCUGAAGCACACCAUGUAGCAAGAACCAAACCAGAUGCUUGAUCAAAACGACCCUUGCUGAAAUUGUUACCUUCAACAUCCCUAGAAACAUCCCGAGCAUUACUGACAUCGUCGUACCUAUGCUCGAUGAGUCUUACCCAGCAAUUGAACACAGUGUACCCAUUGAAAUUGGUGGCAAAGCGGGAUCACCAACAAUGUUACAACCCAAAUUUUACUAGUCAAAAAUCAAAUAUUGACUAGUCAAGGUUAGAGUUAAUUAAGGACUAAAAUGAAAUUAAAUAUUUGAUUAGAGUUUAUUUUAUAAUUGGCAAUAUAUAAGGGUUAAAUUGGAUACAAGUUAAAGUGGGAAUUUACUUUUAUAUUAAGGGAAGUUAGAAGGAUUAAAUGUUAUAUCAAAAUGGAGUUGAGGGACUACCUUUGCAAUUUUGAACAAGCGGACCUUUAUAUUCAACCUUUGACCAUUUUUUCUCUCAAAAAUACACACACACACACACUAGAGAAAAUGAAGAGAAGCAGAAAGGCUGAGAAAGAAGAAAGAAAAAAAGAAAAGAAGAAAGAAAAAAGAAAAGAAAAGAAGAAGAAAGGAAGGAAGAAGGAGAAGUAAGUGUUGAUUUUUUCAUGUUUGGGUACAUUUGUUUCAUUUCUUCAUGAGAUUUAGAAGUGAAUGUUUUAUGGUAUUAUGAUGUUAAAUUUCUAGGGUUUGAUUAGUUGGUUAAAUUUGUGGGUUAACUUUGUAGAUUUAGUGAAAGGAGUAUGAAUCCUUGUUUAAAGUGCUUGAUGGAUUAAUUUUUAGUUGAUCAAGGUAAGGAAUAUAAUUUUUGGCAAACCCUAGACUUCUAUUUGGGAUUUUUGAUUAAGUAUAGUUGGUGGGAAUGAUUAUAUUGAUGGAAUACUCACAUGAAAGCAUGAAGUUGAGAAAACAAGAUGAAAGUUUAAAUGGGUGGAAUCAUGGUUACUAGUUUGCAUUAGAUUGGAAAGUAUAAUUAUUUUUAUGGAUGGGAUGAAAGUAAUUUUGGAUAUAAUAUAUAUUUGUGAAGGUAUUAGAAGGUAGAAUUAGCUCCAAUUGAUCAAAGGAAAUUUUGGAAAUAUAUUCAAGUAUUGAGUAAUUUAAUUUAGGUAUUAUAUUGUUAGGGACAAAAGGUUUCUUGUUUUAAUAGUGGUUAAAUUGGUUAUUUUGUAUCGUAUUUUAGGUGAUGAUGAGGAGAUCAGAAAAGCCUACCGACCAUCUUAGGCUAUAGCUUGAUUUGUGAGUGGAUAAAACUUAUUUUUCAAAAAUAGUAUUUAAUAAAUUUAAAUUAGAUCAAAAAAUUUAUUAUUUCCCAUAGUUGAUCUGACAAGAUGAUUUUUAGAAUAAAGCGAAUUUAUAAUCUGUUGUUUUUAAAGUUAAAAUCAUUUCAGUUAAAUCUUUUGAUCAGCGUGUUAUAUGAAUGUUAAAUAUUUCAACAUAUUUAAAGUUAUUUUUCAAACUCACUAGAAGUACCUAGGUGAUUUUACCCUAGUCUGCACUCGUGUGAAUGUGUUUCUACAGUGUAUGACUCCAUAUGGUUAUUUUACCCACUCUGCACUGGUGUGAAUGUGGUUCCACAGUGUAUGAUCAGUUAUGGUAAUUUUAUCCACUCUGCCCUAUUGUGAAUGUGUUUCUAUAGUGUAUGACCAGAAUAUCAGAAUUACAGAAUCGAAUAGCUUUGCCAUGUAUAUCGGUACUAACCAAUACAUGAGUAAGGUUAUUUCGAGUACAUUUUUGGUGUGAUUUUCAGUAGAUUGCAGUUCAUUAGUUUUCAGAUUACAGAAUUUAGUCAUUUCAGUUUAAAGAAUAAAUGUUUUAGCUUAUGAUACAAUAAAAGAACUUUUUAUUGUAUACCAGUUUUCAGAAUGUUGGCAUAUUUGGACAAUAUAUACUUACUUACGAAAUAUCCACUCACUAAGUUAUAGACUCAUAUUUUUAUCACAUUUUCUCUUAUCAUAUAGUAGCUGAGUUGAGCACCACUAGGCCAAUAGAUCUAUCGAGUUGAGCCAUAGAUUGUCAAG